ensembl:lncRNA
GGCAGGGAUGAAUGUAACAAAAUAGUGGGUGGGAGGAAAUACAGAUAAAUAUUUUCACAAAUCAGGAAUAAACCCAUUCACCAAGCUCUUGCUAGAUGGAAAAAUGGAGAAAGUGAGUGGUGAAUGAACGUGUCACAAACAGUUGAAUGUGAGACUUCUGGGCAUCCCAAUGCUCUCGGGGAUCCCAAUAUUGGGAUCUCAAUAUCUCGGAGAUACCGAAUGCUUCACAGAGAAGACAAGGGACAUCAGCUACAGAGAGAAACCCCAUUCCAACCACUUAGAUCUGCUACAGGACAGAGAUUCUUCAACUUAUACUGGCACAGCUCAGCUCUCCCUACAGAGUCCAGACGUGAUGAUAUAUAAUGGGCAAAAUGAUGAGCAUCCUUAAAUAUGAGUGAUAUUGUCAGCACUUCAAGGAAAUUGUAUAUACAGAUCUACUUAGUUAAUAAUGAGACGUGCACACCUUCUGUGCACCUCACUGAGCACACAUUUAAACAUAUGGCUGCUGAGAUAGAAUAUAUCCUGCCAGCCUUUUUUCUUAAUUAAAGUUAUGCGAGUUAUGAAAUACUUUCCUUUAUAUUAAGCUCUUAUGCCUGUGGAGAAAUUUCUAUUUGUUUUUAUCUCAUUUGAGCUUCAAGGUUAAUCUUAGUUUAAGAAUCUUGCUCACUGUGCUAGCAACGCUUCAUUCUGAUCUGUGCGCGUGGGUGUGCGCAUCCUUUUGUUUCAUGCUGGGGCUGGAUGCCGCUGGCUGAGUACCCUCCGUGUACUGGUUUGCCCUACAGACAUUAGCAAUAGGUAGGGGUGGCUGGGAAAAUGGUACAUGAAGACUAUUUAACUGAUAGUGUAUAGGGUCAUAAAAAUAAAACCAAGAGGUCAGCUGAAGAGUUUGCGUCUUGUUUUGCAAGACAACGCAAAUGUGAGGUGUCUCACUCUCUGACCUGUUGGAGAUGUGAAUUCAGGAAUCAUUGAUACGUAUUUACUUAUUUUAUUCUAUGGCAACAGCGAGUUAUAACUUGGUCCAGCAAGGAAAAAGGCAUAAAGGAGAAAGAAAAAAGAGCAAGGCAUUUAGAUCAAAUUAACACACCAGAAAUAAAAUAGUAAAACCACCUGCUUUGUCUGC